rnacentral:sRNA from 1 species
GGGAAAAUGCCUGACAGCAGACACAAGGGAACCCUGCUGGGUUCUGGGGCCCCACUGGCCAUCCCGACAUGCUGAACCAAUUCAGACCCUUCCUCCUGGAACAUGACAUCGAGACACCCUACGGCCUUCUGCAUGUAGUGAUCCGGGGCUCCCCCAAGGGGAACCGCCCAGCCAUCCUCACCUACCAUGAUGUGGGCCUCAACCACAAACUAUGCUUCAACACCUUCUUCAACUUCGAGGACAUGCAGGAGAUCACCAAGCACUUUGUGGUGUGUCACGUGGAUGCCCCUGGACAACAGGUGGGGGCGUCGCAGUUUCCUCAGGGGUACCAGUUCCCCUCCAUGGAGCAGCUGGCUGCCAUGCUCCCCAGCGUGGUGCAGCAUUUCGGGUUCAAGUAUGUGAUUGGCAUCGGAGUGGGCGCCGGAGCCUAUGUGCUGGCCAAGUUUGCACUCAUCUUCCCCGACCUGGUGGAGGGGCUGGUGCUGGUGAACAUCGACCCCAAUGGCAAAGGCUGGAUAGACUGGGCUGCCACCAAGCUCUCCGGCCUAACUAGCACUUUACCCGACACAGUGCUCUCCCACCUCUUCAGCCAGGAGGAGCUGGUGAACAACACAGAGUUGGUGCAGAGCUACCGGCAGCAGAUUGGGAACGUGGUGAACCAGGCCAACCUGCAGCUCUUCUGGAACAUGUACAACAGGUGCGGGUGGGAUCAGCAGCCCUGGGACCCAGCACACCCCAGUGGGGGCCCUUGCACACUGCCCCCUGAGGGAGGCAGGCAGACAACACCCUUGCCCUGGUUUGUAGAUGGGCACGAUACUGGGCCUCAAAGGAGGUCAUUUCCUGCACAAGGUCACACCCUGUGAGGGGCAGAGGGGAACA